GCUUAAAAAAUAAAAAAUAAAAAAUUAAAAAAAAAUAAGACUUUAACUGCAGUUCCAAAGCUUCUCUAACCCAAAAAUUACAGUACCAAAUGAUUGACUCAGGAUUGUUUUUCCCAUAUUGAUAUGCUGGCAAUAUAGGAUGGUAUGUAAUGGACAGAACUGAUGCAGAUGGUUGAAUGCGCUUGUAAUAUAUGCUAAAAUAUGGAAAAGGAAAAAAAUCUCACAAGUUCUUUUGGAACUUGUUUCAAGCCAAAAACUCUCAAGAAAGCAAAUUGCACCUCAGCUGGAUUGAUUUCCAAAUGCUAGCAUGUACUGUAUGGGAGGAUGAUCCAGAUGUUUCAAAGAGAAUUUCUCUUAGUUUAUUUAUUUAUUUAUUUUUAAACAUUUUUAUAAGGUGAACAAAUAUAAUGUAUUUCAUAUAUACGGAUUUAGGAACACAGUGAUACUUCUCACCCUAUCCUCCCUCCUGCUAAUACUCCCACGCUUCCUCCUCCCUCCUCUAUUUUUUCCUUUCUUAAUUUUUACAAUGAUCUCCUUUCAGUUUAUUUAUUUAUUUAUUUAUUUUGACAGGCAGAGUGGACAGUGAGAGAGAGACAGAGAGAAAGGUCUUCCUUUUUGACGUUGGUUCACCCUCCAAUGGCCACCUCGGCCGGCACGCUGCGGCCGGCGCACCACGCUGAUCCGAUGGCAGGAGCCAGGUGCUUCUCCUGGUCUCCCAUGGGGUGCAGGGCCCAAGCACUUGGGCCAUCCUCCACUGCACUCCCAGGCCACAGCAGAGAGCUGGCCUGGAAGAGGGGCAACCGGGACAGAAUCCGGCGCCCUGACCGGGACUAGAACCCAGUGUUCUGGCGCCGCAAGGCGUAGGAUUAGCCUAGUGAGCCGCAGCGCCGGCCUCAGUUUAUUUUUAAUUCAUAAGAUUAACCCUAUACUAUGUAAAGAAUUCCACAAAUAGUAAGAAGAAAAAACAGUUCUCAAUGGUAGAGACAAGUGCUAUAAACAAUCAUUGAAUCUCAAAAUAUCAAUUUCACUCCUAUACAUUACAUUUUUUUUUUUUUUGGUAUUCUAUUAGUUAACACAGAUCAGGGAAAACAUACUGUAUUUGUGUUUUUGGGAUUGGCUAAUUUUAAUAAGAAUAAUGGUUUCCACUUACAUCCAACUUUGUAAAAGACAGAAUUUCAUUCGUUUAUCUGGCUGAGUAUUAUUCCAUCAAACACACACACAUAUCACAAUUACUUUAUACAGGCAUCAGCUGAUGGACAUCUAGAUUGAUACAUAUCUUAGCUAUUGUGAAUUGAGCUACAAAAAACAUAGGUGCACAGAUAACUUUUUCAUAAACUUAUUUCAUUUCAUGUGGGUAAAUUCCUAGGCGAGGGAUACCUGGAUCAUAUGGUAGAUCUAUUUUCAGCUUUUUGAAGUCUCUCCAUACUGUCUUCCACAGUGGCCAUUCUAGUUUACAUUCCCACUAAUAGCUGAUUAGGGUACCUUUUUCCUCACAUUCUCACCAGCAUUUAUUGUUUGUUGAUUUCUGUAUGAAAGCCAUUUUAACAGGGGUGAUAUGAAAAACUCACUGUGGUUUUUGUUUGCAUUUCCCCAAUUUUUAGUGAUUUUGAGCAUUUUUUCUUGGGUCUGUUAGCCAUUUGAAUUUCCUCUUUUGAAAAAUGCCUUUUCAACUCCUUUACCCAUUUUUUAACUGGAUUAUUUAUUUUGGUGUUGUUGAGUUUCUUGAGCUCUUUAUAAAUUCAAUAUAUUAAUACUUUAUUAGUUGCACAGAUUGCAAAUAUUUUCUCCCAUUCAUUCCAUUGCCUCUUUACUUUGCUGAGUGUUUCCAUUGCAGUGUUGAAGCAUCUCAGUUUGAUGUAAUCUCAUCUGUCUAUGUUUGCUUUGAUUGUCUGCCUUAUGAAGUCUUUUCCAAGAAGUCUUGGCCUAUACCAAUAUCAUGUAAGGUUUCUCCAAUGUUCUCCUCCAGUAAUUUGAUGGUAUCAGGUCAUAGAUUGAGAUCCUUGAUACAUUUUGAAUUGAUUUUUUAUAAGGUGUAAGGUAGGGGUCUUGCUUCAUACUUCUGCAUGCAGAGAUUCAAUUUUCUCAGAACCAUUUGUUGAAGAGAUUGUCCUUGUUCCAGGGAUUGAUUUUAACUCCUUUGUUAUAGUUGGUUGUAGACAUGUGGAUUGACUUCUGGAGUUUCUAUUCUAUUCUAUUUGUCUACAUAUUUUUAUGCAGACAGUUUUAUUAUAACUACUUGUAGUAUAUAUUGAAAUCUGAUAUUGUGAUGCCUCCAGCUUUGUUCUUGCUUUUAAAGAUUACUUUAGCCAUUCAGAGUCUCUUGUGUUUCCACAUGAAUUUACAUCAUUCUUUUGUACAUGUGAGAAGAAUUUCAUUGGUAUUUUGAUUGGGAUCACAAUAAAAAGAAUCCAGAAUUUCA
rnacentral:lncRNA from 1 species